UAAAAAAAAAAAAAAAAAAAAUGCAAUAUGUGCCUACGUGUGACGUUGUUGCGCGUGUCCGUCGUUGUCUUAUUUGUGGUUUCUCUUCUGUGUAUUAUUAC
rnacentral:ribozyme from 1 species